GGCAGUUUAAUUGAGGUUGAGAAAACUCUCAAAAAGCCGUAUUUCCAGAAAUAAUGAAGGUUCUCCGUCUUCUCUAUUCUUAAGGUUUAUGAAACCUAGAAGUCAAGACUUCUAUUUUAGGACUUAUUAAUAUAAAGGGUUAGAUCCCAAUUUACCCAAAACUUUAGGAACCCAUCAGCCCCUCAGAUCUGAGGCCAGCUGUUCCUUAGAGGACUAAAGGCCAAUGUUCAACACCUCCCUAUGCUGGGGCCGUCAGAUUUAGCUCAUCAUCAUUAUCAUCAUCAUCAUCCUCAAACACAUUCAAAUGUGUUGCAAGGCACACUUAUAAUAAAAAAUUACUCACUGCUUAUCUGACAUUCAAAUUUAACUGGGCACCCUGUAUUUUAUCUGACAACCUUACCCCAAGCACACAUACCUCAGCCUUUCUUUCUAGGAAGCUUUCAUAAAGACACCCAUUGAAUGGUUCAUGAAAACCUCCAGCUUCAGGCAUUAGUGGUGCAAAAGCUUAGAUCUUUGAUUUCUUAGCACCACAGGAAAGGGGAAUGGCAUUUUUCAGGGCUUCCAAUUUGCUAACUCAAGCAGAAACUCUGAAUUCAGAAUCUACAUUGACUCUCAGCUGUGUCCCUUGAUCCUUGAUCUUCAGGCUGGAUCCUGUUGCCAGCAGCAACUCCAGGAGCAGGAGGAUUCUGCAUCAGUCACAGACCAGCCCAGAGGAAGAAACAGUUAAUUUAUCUGAACUUUGGUUUCCCUUUCCCAUGGGAACCUAGAGAAGGACUUUCCCUAUAUUCCCCACCUCUUUGGGCUUCAGCAAAAGAAAAUGGACCUCAAGGGAGUCUUCAAGAGCUGCUUCAAAAUUUACUGUUCAUCAAAGCACUUGCUGAAGACUGGCUUCGUUUCAGAGGCUGUGCUGAGUGUUACGGAGAAGGAGGUGAAGGAGAUAAGGUGCUUACCAUGAAGGAGAGGUGGCCGCAUGAAUGCAUCGUUUUAAUACAGUGCAAUAAGUGAGGUGAUGAGCUUUGCACAGAUUUUAUGGAAUUAAGGAAAGAGGUCAGGAAAGCUUUUAGAAACUGUAGAGACAGUGCCUAAAUUGUGUUUGAAGUUUGUCCCGAGUCAGCAGAUGAGAGAGGGGAGGGAAGAGUGGAAAGCAAUCUACGUCAAUUAUCUUCCUAUUUCAAUUCAAAAGCAUAGAGGAGAUUUAAAACACAAAAGAAACAAAAUGAGAGGAAUUAAACUUCAGAAAAGUAAAA
rnacentral:lncRNA from 1 species